rnacentral:rRNA from 1 species
AUUGAACGCUGGCGGCAGGCCUAACACAUGCAAGUCGAGCGGCAGCGGGAAAGUAGCUUGCUACUUUUGCCGGCGAGCGGCGGACGGGUGAGUAAUGCCUGGGGAUCUGCCCAGUCGAGGGGGAUAACAGUUGGAAACGACUGCUAACACCGCAUACGCCCUACGGGGGAAAGCAGGGGACCGUCGGGCCGUGCGCGAUUGGAUGAACCCAGGUGGGAUUAGCUAGUUGGUGAGGUAGUGGCUCACGAAGGCCACGAUCCCUAGCUGAUCUGAGAGGCUGAGCAGCGAGACUGGAACUGAGAAACGGUCAAGACGCCGACGGGAGGCAGCAGGGGGGAAUAUGGCGCAAUGGGCGCAACCCUGAUGCAGCCAUGCCGCGUGUGUGAAGAAGGCCUUCGGGUUGUAAAGCACUUUCAGCGCGGAGGAAAGGGUGGUAGCUAAUAACUGCCAGCUGUGACGUUACUCGCAGAAGAAGCACCGGCUAACUCCGUGCCAGCCGCCGCGGUAACAC